rnacentral:rRNA from 1 species
GGGGAGUAUUGCACAAUGGGCGAAAGCCUGAUGCAGCAACGCCGCGUGAGUGAUGAAGGUCUUCGGAUUGUAAAGCUCUGUCUUUUGGGACGAUAAUGACGGUACCAAAGGAGGAAGCCACGGCUAACUACGUGCCAGCAGCCGCGGUAAUACGUAGGUGGCGAGCGUUGUCCGGAUUUACUGGGCGUAAAGGGUGCGUAGGCGGAUGUUUAAGUGAGAUGUGAAAUACCCGGGCUUAACUUGGGUGCUGCAUUUCAAACUGGAUAUCUAGAGUGCAGGAGAGGAGAAUGGAAUUCCUAGUGUAGCGGUGAAAUGCGUAGAGAUUAGGAAGAACACCAGUGGCGAAGGCGAUUCUCUGGACUGUAACUGACGCUGAGGCACGAAAGCGUGGGUAGCAAACAGGAUUAGAUACCCUGGUAGUCCACGCCGUAAACGAUGAGUACUAGGUGUAGGAGGUAUCGACCCCUUCUGUGCCGCAGUAAA